UGCCCAGACUCCUACGGGAGGCAGCAGUGGGGAAUAUUGCACAAUGGGGGGAACCCUGAUGCAGCGACGCCGCGUGGGUGAAGAAGUCAUUCGUGACGUAAAGCCCUAUCAGCAGGGAAGAAAAUGACGGUACCUGACUAAGAAGCCCCGGCUAACUACGUGCCAGCAGCCGCGGUAAUACGUAGGGGGCAAGCGUUAUCCGGAUUUACUGGGUGUAAAGGGAGCGUAGACGGCGGCGCAAGUCCGGAGUGAAAGCCCACGGCCCGACCGUGGGACUGCUCUGGAAACUGUGCGGCUUGAGUGCGGGAGGGGCAGGCGGAAUUCCUAGUGUAGCGGUGAAAUGCGUAGAUAUUAGGAGGAACACCAGUGGCGAAGGCGACUUUCUGGACUGUACCUGACGCUGAGGCGCGAAAGCGUGGGUAGCGAACGGGAUUAGAUACCCGCGUAA
rnacentral:rRNA from 1 species